CCCGGGCGGUCGGGAGCGGGGGGCACUCGGGUCUGUGGGGGGCUCCCGUUGGGGUCGUGUUUUGGGGUCUGCGCGAGCCAGGAAAUGGCUGCAGACACUCCCCUGGCUCUUUUUGGGGGAGAGCGGGAGGUGAGAGGAAGGUGAGGGCUGAGCUGGCCUGAAGCAGAGUAGUGAGGGGAAACAAGGAGCCGAAGUGCCUGUGGGAUUUUUAAAGUCUUCAGUAAAGAUCUUCAGUGAGUUACCUACCAUGGGAGUCAGGAUAUCAGCAGCCUCCAAAGUCUGUAAAGGCUGGCAUGGGACAAGAGCACCGUGGAGGAAGCCGUGUGAGGAGCGCUCACCUCUUGACACCGCUGCUAAUAGGUGGUUAUUACAGCCCAUUGUGCUGAGAGCUGAGGUCUGGCUCUGCCAGCUGCUCCAGUGAUAAAGUGUUUUUUACCUCACCUAAAAGUCGUAAGCAUCACAAACCUUGAAAAUACCCCUCUGACUUUGAAAUUUUAAAUUAAAUAUUGUUAUAAGUUUAGUAAGUUCUAAAGAGGAUAUGAUUACAUAAAACCAGCAUCACCUUGGAAGAGAUUUACUUUGAAAUGUGUGUCUAUAAAGUGCAACUACAGGAUUACGUAAAUUAAGUCUGAAUGCAGCUGAACUGAUAGUUGGCUUUGAAUAUUUUUGUACACUGAGCAAAUUGUUAAUUUACAUUAGUGGGGAAUCUGGUUCAUGAGAAAAAUUCUAAUUUUAUAAGUGAUACCAGAUUGCUUGCAUUUAAUUUGUGUUGGUUUACACCUUUAUACAGAAUAUAUUCCUUUAUUUUCUUGUUUCUGUUUGUCAGUGUCAUUUUUUUCCUUCCUUCCUUCCUUCCUUUUUCCCUUCCUUUCUCCCUUCCUCCCUCCUUAUGCUUUUACUACAAGGAAAAUUCUAGUGCAAAAUAAAAAAUAAGCUCAUCACCAAUUCUAGUAGCAGAGGAGAGGGAGGUGUGGAGAACAGUCAUCCUCCCACCCAUUCAGUGCAAAAUUCCUGUUGACUUCAUGGAAGCCACACAAGUAUUAAAAUUCUCCAAAUUCGUAGCAAAGAUUGAGAUUAUUUUGUGAUGCAAGCAAGGUAAGAGAAACAUCUGUCCUGGUUAUGAGUGAUCAGUUGUGAUGUUUUAUAGAGACUUCAUGGGGAAACCCAAUUCCAGAUUGUGUCUGCCCAUUCCAAACCCAUGAGAUAAGGAACAUGGUAUUAUUAUAACUUCAUUAUUAACUAGAAAAGCAGUUAAAUGUUCAGUAUUUUGCCUUACUGAAUACGUACUUACUCUGAAAUCUAUGUCAUUAAAUAACCUCUCAAGGAGAAUCUGUUCUUUCCAGCCCCGUUUCAGUACAAUGACUUAUUAAUGAUACACAGUACAAAAGAGUGUUGAAAUUAAAGUGUUCUCUUCAAGGCUGAGUGUCUCUGGAAUGAUGGCAGAUGUUCCUUAAAACAUUUUCAUUCAUACUGUGUAUCUUAUAAAUAGACUUACUUUUGCCUGGGCCUGAUCCUACAAGUGUUCCAAGCAUAAAACUGUUAGUUCUGUGCACAAGGUGCUCCCUGGACAAAGCUGUUCAGUCUUCAGGUGACACGUCAUAGAAACUUUUCAGAUCAAACCUCUUACCUUGUUGUCUCAUUUUCCUGUCUACAGAGGAAAACUCAUGUCUGGCUAUGAACCUAACUAGGUCAGGAACAGAUUUUAUGAAACUGUGCAAAAUCAAGUAAUUACAGCCCUGGUUCUACAUCGUAGCUGUAGCAGUUCUACCAUAGCAGAACUCCUCCCCAUAUUUUUGGUAAUUCAACAGUAACAACACCACUAUCCUUAAAUAAGAGGUAGUUUCUUACCAGCAAAGAUGCCAGGAAGCAAUGCAGGUUACAAUCUCAGCAAAUUUUAAGACAAACUCCAAUAAACUAUUUCCUCCUCAUGAAAGUAAUGCUCUCGCAUCUGCUUUGUUUUCUGGAACUUUGAUCAUUCUUCUGUUUUGGAAUACAUAUGAAUUUUAAU